rnacentral:rRNA from 1 species
UAGGGAAUCUUCGGCAAUGGACGAAAGUCUGACCGAGCAACGCCGCGUGAGUGAAGAAGGUUUUCGAAUCGUAAAACUCUGUUGGUAGAGAAGAACGUUGGUGAGAGUGGAAAGCUCAUCAAGUGACGGUAACUACCCAGAAAGGGACGGCUAACUACGUGCCAU